rnacentral:rRNA from 1 species
GCCGCGGGUAAUACGGAGGGGGCUAGCGUUGUUCGGAAUUACUGGGCGUAAAGGCACGUGAGCGGCUUUGUAAGUUAGAGGUGAAAGCCCGGGGCUCAACCCCGGGGCGGCGGUGCGAACGGGCCGGCUGGAGCGUACGAGAGGCAGGCGGAAUUCCGGGGGUAGCGGUGGAAUGCGUAGAGAUCCGGAAGAACACCGGGGGCGAAGGCGGCCUGCUGGCGUACGGCUGACGCUGAGGCGCGACAGUGGGGGGAGCAAACAGGAUGAGAUACCCUGGGAGUCCACGCCGUAAACGAUGGGCACUAGGGGCGUGGGGGAGCGACCCCCUGCGUGCCGGCGCUAACGCAUGAAGUGCCCCGCCGGGGGAGUACGGCCGCAAGGUGGAAACGCAAAGGAAUGGACGGGGGCCCGCACAAGCGGGGGAGCAGGGGGGGGAAUUCGACGCAACGCAAGAACCUUACCUGGGCUUGACAUCGCCGANACGGCCCUGGGAAAGGGGGGCUGCCCUGCGGGGCUCGGGGACAGGGGCUGCAUGG